rnacentral:rRNA from 1 species
CACAUAGUUAGCCGUCCCUUUCUGGUAAGAUACCGUCACAGUGUGAACUUUCCACUCUCACACUCGUUCUUCUCUUACAACAGAGCUUUACGAUCCGAAAACCUUCUUCACUCACGCGGCGUUGCUCGGUCAGACUUCCGUCCAUUGCCGAAGAUUCCCUACUGCUGCCUCCCGUAGGAGUCUGGGCCGUGUCUCAGUCCCAGUGUGGCCGAUCACCCUCUCAGGUCGGCUAUGUAUCGUCGCCUUGGUGAGCCGUUACCCCACCAACUAGCUAAUACAACGCAGGUCCAUCUGGUAGUGAUGCAAUUGCACCUUUUAAGCAAAUGUCAUGCAACAUCUACUCUUAUGCGGUAUUAGCUAUCGUUUCCAAUAGUUAUCCCCCGCUACCAGGCAGGUUACCUACGCGUUACUCACCCGUUCGCAACUCAUCCGGAGAAGCAAGCUCCUCCUUCAGCGUUCUACUUGCAUGUAUUAGGCACGCCGCCAGCGUUCGUCCG